rnacentral:misc_RNA from 1 species
UUUCCGUAGGUGAACCUGCGGAAGGAUCAUUAUUGAAUACUCUUGAUGGGUUGUAGCUGGCUCUUCGGGGCAUGUGCACACUUGUCUUGACUUUAUUCAUCCACCUGUGCACCUUUUGUAGUCUUGUGGGUUGAGAGCAGUCGACUAUCGGAUGGCUAUGGCCUUUCCGGACGUGAGGAAUGCUGAGUGCGAAAGCAUACAGCUCUUCUCAAAUGACUUGCAAAACCUCUUCCUCAAGUACUAUGUAUUCAUAUACCACAUAGUAUGUUGUCGAAUGUGAUCAAUGGGCCUAUGUGCCUAUAAAAAUCAUAUACAACUUUCAGCAACGGAUCUCUUGGCUCUC